UUCUCCCAGCUGCAGCCAACCUGAGGAGU
rnacentral:piRNA from 1 species